rnacentral:lncRNA from 1 species
UUUUGCAGGAUUUCAGAGUCCGAUUUGUAUUGGCUUCUUCGACUUCAUUGGUUAAAUAUUCUUUGUUAUUUUUAUGUUGGAUUUGUACAUUAAACUUCAAUAUAUAUUAAAUGCUUGCUGUAUAGACUUUUGGUUUCCAUGGUCAGUUUAUCUUUUGUGGUUUCUAUUAAGUGAGUGGGUCAUUUUUUCCUCUUUCGAUUUACAUAGGCUGGCUUUUGUUUGAUUUCGUGGCUUCUUUUGUACAUAUAUAGUAAAUGCUUGUUGUACACACUUUUGAUUUCAAUGGGCAGUAAUUGAUUAUGAGUUUAUCUUCUGUACUUUCGAUUUACUGAGGUGGGAUUUAAUCUGAUUUUAAGGGUUUUUUCUUCAUCUUUCAAUUUACUAAGAUUGGCUUCUAUUUGACUUCGUGGCUUCAUUUGUACAUGUAUCUGUUUUUCAUGUUAAAAUUCCUUAUGAAAGAAAUUUUCAAAACUUGUUCAUGUAAUUCAUCUUUCAAAUUGGGGUAAACAUUUGGUUUUUUUUUUAUUUUUUAUUUUUUUUUAUAUUCCUUUUAAUAAAUUAUGCUUACACUUCUUUGGUAACAAAUUGAUUCAUGUUUCUUAAAACAUUUGAUUUCAUUUUCUGUAAAUGUGUGUAGUUAUAAGAUUGCUGCUUUCUUUUAAAGUUUUUCCAUGCUGAUGAAAUUAAGCUCUUUCAUUUCUUAUUUCUUUUUUUGUUUGUAAAUUAAUGUUCUUUUAUGAGAAGAGUGCGGAAGAAAAUGGACACCUGGUAAUUAGCGAGAGUCAAUAUAAUGCGUGAACUUGAUUUUACUUCAUGUUAUCCUAUGUGUUUUAUUAAUUUUUAAUGCAUAAUUUGUAUUGGUAGGAAUUUGAUUGGAUUAGUAGUUACAAUAUAACAAUUUAAUAAUGAUGAAAUUUACCUUUUAUCAACAACUUGCUAUUUAAU